rnacentral:rRNA from 1 species
UGGCUCAGAACGAACGUUGGCGGCGUGGAUUAGGCAUGCAAGUCGAGCGGGAUUAACUUGUUUCAAUCCUUCGGGAGAGAAGCUUGUUAUGAGAUCGGCGAACGGGUGAGUAAUGCAUGGGGAAUCUGCCUCUAAGUUGGGAAUAGCCUUUGGAAACGAAGGGUAAUGCCGGAUGUGAUCGUCUACCGCAUGGUAGACUGUUUAAAAGCUGGGAUCUUCGGACCAGUUGCUUAGAGAUGACCCCAUGUCCUAUCAGCUAGUUGGUGAGGUAAUGGCUCACCAAGGCUUACGGGUAGCCGGCCUGAGAGGGUGAUCGGCCACACUGGGACUGAGAACUGCCCAGACUCCUACGGGAGGCUGCAGUCGAGAAUCAUUCACAAUGCGUGAAAGCGUGAUGAUGCGACGCCGCGUGGAGGAAGACGGUCUUCGGAUUGUAAACUCCUGUCAGCAGGGAAGAACAAUGUCUUUAUUAAUAGUAGGGGCAUUUGACGGUACCUGCAGAGGAAGUCACGGCUAACUCUGUGCCAGCAGCCGCGGUAAUACAGAGGUGGCGAACGUUGUUCGGAUUUACUGGGCGUAAAGGGUCCGCAGGCGGAUCGGUAUGUCGGAUGUGAAAGCUCACAGCUCAACUGUGGAACUGCAUUCGAAACUGCCGAUCUAGAGUACUAGGGGAGAAGGGAAUUCUUGGUGUAGCGGUGAAAUGCGUAGAUAUCAAGAAGAACACCGGUGGCGAAGGCGCUUCUCUGGACAGAUACUGACGCUCAUGGACGAAAGUUAGGGUAGCGAAAGGGAUUAGAUACCCCUGUAGUCCUAACCGUAAACGGUGUGCACUAGUCGUGGGUGGUUUACCCCCAUCCGUGACUGAGCUAACGCAUUAAGUGCACCGCCUGGGGAGUACGGUCGCAAGAUUAAAACUCAAAGGAAUUGACGGGGACCCGCACAAGCGGUGGAGCAUGUGGCUUAAUUCGAUGCAACGCGAAGAACCUUACCUGGACUUGACAUAUAGCUGCAUCCGACCCGAAAGGGACGGAGCCUUCGAGGGUGCUAUACAGGUGCUGCAUGGCUGUCGUCAGCUCGUGCCGUGAGGUGUUGGGUUAAGUCCCGCAACGAGCGCAACCCCUAUGUUUAGUUGCCAUCAUUUAGUUGGGCACUCUAGACAGACUGCUGGUGAAAGCCAGAGGAAGGUGGGGAUGACGUCAAGUCAGUAUGGUCCUUAUGUCCAGGGCUGCACACGUGCUACAAUGGGCAGUACAGAGGGAAGCCAAGCCGCGAGGUGGAGCAAAUCCCCAAAACUGUCCCCAGUUCGGAUUGGAGUCUGAAACUCGACUCCAUGAAGUUGGAAUCGCUAGUAAAGGCGUAUCAGCUACGACGCCUUGAAUACGUUCCCGGGUCUUGUACACACCGCCCGUCACAUCAUGGUAGUCUGUUGCACCCAAAGUCGCUGAUCUAACCUGUUUACAGGAAGAAGGCGCCUAAGGUGUGACCGGUAACUAGGAUGAAGUCGAAACAAGGUA